UACGUAGGUGGCAAGCGUUGUCCGGAUUUACUGGGCGUAAAGAGCGCGCAGGCGGUCGGAUAAGUCGAAUGUGAAAGCCCCCGGCUCAACUGGGGAGGGUCAUUCGAUGACUGUUCGACUUGAAGGCAGGAGAGGGAAGCGGAAUUCCCGGUGUAGUGGUGAAAUGCGUAGAUAUCGGGGAGGAACACCAGUGGCGAAGGGCG
rnacentral:rRNA from 1 species